rnacentral:rRNA from 1 species
UACAGAGGGUGCGAGCGUUAAUCGGAAUUACUGGGCGUAAAGCGCGCGUAGGCGGCUUUUCAAGUCGAUUGUGAAAUCCCCGGGCUUAACCUGGGAACUGCAGUCGAGACUGUCUAGCUAGAGUAUGGGAGAGGGAAGUGGAAUUUACGGUGUAGCAGUGAAAUGCGUAGAUAUCGUAAGGAAGACCAGUGGCGAAGGCGAAUCUCUGGACAGUUACUGACACUGAGGCACGAAGGCCAGGGGAGCAAACGGG